rnacentral:rRNA from 1 species
CCUACGGGAGGCAGCAGUGAGGAAUAUUGGUCAAUGGUCGCAAGACUGAACCAGCCAUGCCGCGUGCAGGAAGACGGUCCUAUGGAUUGUAAACUGCUUUUAUACAGGAAGAAACCCUCCCACGUGUGGGAGCUUGACGGUACUGUAGGAAUAAGGAUCGGCUAACUCCGUGCCAGCAGCCGCGGUAAUACGGAGGAUCCAAGCGUUAUCCGGAAUCAUUGGGUUUAAAGGGUCCGUAGGCGGUCUUAUAAGUCAGUGGUGAAAGCCCAUCGCUCAACGAUGGAACUGCCAUUGAUACUGUAAGACUUGAAUGCUUAGGAAGUAACUAGAAUAUGUAGUGCAGCGGUGAAAUGCUUAGAUAUUACAUGGAAUACCAAUUGCGAAGGCAGGUUACUACUAAGUGAUUGACGCUGAUGGACGAAAGCGUGGGGAGCGAACAGGAUUAGAUACCCUGGUAGUCCACGCCGUAAACGAUGGAUACUAGCUGUUCGGCGCAAGUUGAGUGGCUAAGCGAAAGUGAUAAGUAUCCCACCUGGGGAGUACGCACGCAAGUGUGAAACUCAAAGGAAUUGACGG